CAGAAUCAUUCGAUGCUGGCAUAAGCAUGCGUAUGAAGAAUCCUCUUUGAUUGCAUUGGCAACCUCUCGUUCCUCAUCCUCUAUCUCUCAGGCCUCAGCCAGCACACAAACUCGGACUCUGCCACUGACAAAAACAGAAGCUCUCAUUUUUCUUUCAGCUUAAUCGAGAGAUGACUCUCAACUUAAACUUACCCUCUCCUUUUCUUUCUAAUUUCUCCACUCCACGCUUCUCAAAAUUCUAUGAAACCUUUCCCAUCAACAGCAACGGCAACAACACAGCCGCGCUCUUGUCUCUUUUAUUUGUCACCAGAAGCAGACCCACAACAAUGUUGAGAAGUUUUAAAACGAGAGCUUCGUUAAGUGAAAGUGAAAACGGGGUCGUGGAGAUUCUUGACGAGGAGUUGCUGAACAGAGUUUCGGGUGCUAAGGAUGCAAAUGAAGUGCUGGAGAUGGUGGCUGAGAAGUCACAGAUAAGUAGUGGGGUUGUGAGUGUUAAUGAGUGUUGCUCCAUAAUUAAUGCAGCCAUUGAUCGCGGCAAUACUGACCUCGCUUUGUCUGUUUUCUAUGCCAUGCGCUCUACUUUUGAUCAAGGUGUUAGUGAAAAUGAUACAUUUGUUGAUAGAUGGAAAUGGUCAAGGCCAGACGUAAGUGUAUAUACAACAUUAGUUCAGGGUCUUGCAGCUUCAUUAAAGGUUUCAGAUGCUCUUAGAUUGAUUGAAGAUAUUUGUCGAGUUGGAGUUUCUCCUGGAGAGGAGGUGCCAUUCGGGAAAGUUGUGAGAUGUCCAACUUGCUUCAUAACUGUAGCAGUUGCUCAACCCCAAAAUGGUAUUCAGAUUGUAUCAUGUGCCAAAUGUCGCUACAAGUACGAGCUUGUCUCUGGUGACAUUGUCAGUAUUGACUCAGAAGAAAUCAGCAUGGAUAUUCCAGCAUGGAAAAGGGGGCUAAGAUUUUUGCAAAUAGUGAAGCAAAGGAUUCCUGCGGCUGUCCACUCUAUUGUGGUUCAGACUCCUUCUGGGAUGGCACGUACACACAGGUUUGCUACUGAAACAGUUGAUCUCCCGGCACAGGAAGGAGAAAGGGUAACUGUUGCUUCUGCAACUCCAUCAAAUGUCUAUAGGGAGGUGGGUCCCUUUAAAUUUAGUCCAAAGGCCCCUAACUUCUACCCUGGAGAACCUAUGAGCUUGACAAACCACAAAGAUGGAAGGGAAUCACCAUUAUUGAGAGCCCCAACUAAAGAUGGAAGCUCAUCCUUACUCAAUCCCUUCAGCCUCAUCCCUUUUCUGGCUGUUCUGGCCACUGGAGAAGCUGCCUCAGGAUUAAUUGAUCCUAGCUUACCUAAGUUCCUUUCAGUUGCUGCUGCAUCUCUUGCUGUUGGAGCAACUUUAAAUACUCUGGUUCUCCCUCAACUGAAUAAGCUUCCUCAAAGGUCAGUGGAUGCAAUUGCUAUCAAGCAGCAGCUUUUAUCACAAUAUGACAUGCUUCAGUCUCGUAUCAAAGACCUAAAAGAAGCUGCUGAAAAAGAGGUUUGGAUGUUGGCUCGGAUGUGCCAGCUGGAGAACAAAAUAUAUGCUGUAGGAGAACCUUCUUAUCGUGCUCGGAAAAGUAAAGUUAAGAGGGUGCGUGAAGGCUUGGAAAAUUCCCUCAAGGGACGGAUUGAACUGAUUGACAGCUAUGCAAGGAUUUCUUCUAUGAUCGAGAUUGAGGUAGAAAUGGAUUCUGAUGUUCUUGCUGCUGAAGCAGUGACCAGUGUGGAAAGCAUUUCCGAACAGAUACAACAAAUCAUGGAAAUUGAAAAUCUUGAAGAGAAAUGGAGACUGCAGGCUGAAGCAAAUGAUGAGGCAGAAAGACUCAUUAGUUCCCAACCUAUAAACCCCACAGAACAGAUUUAGAUAUCUCACUGAGAACUGUUGACAAAACUAAGACCACUUUGCUUAGUGUUACAACCUGUUUUUCCUGAACUCAUCGUUAGAUCGGUGGAAAAGUUGAGUGCCAACUCAUCGUUCAUGAACAUCAGACAAUGUUGGGCAAUACUAUGUUUAACCAAUAACUGGAGAAGAAUCUGAAUUUAUGCAAAUAUUGGAAAUGGAGGAUGACUGGAUCAGAUUCCAUGAUACAUCUCCUGGCUCCGAAUAAGUAAUCUGUUCGUCCUUAAGAUUGGCUGACAAGACAAAUUUAGAGAUAAAAGAAAUACGCAGUGGAUGAAUAUCAGAAGGAAUACACAGCGGAUGUAUUCUGUGCGGUUUGCAGGUGCUAGCAUCAGCCAUGGAGUGAGGUAAUUAGAUAUAAACCUGACCUUCUCCAUCAUCGCAACAGAUCCCCAUGUAGAACAAACCGAACCAUUGAUACAAGGUGGAAAAUUAUUGUACGGAAUCUAAAUUAUUCAUUGAGAGUGAAGAAUUACAAGAAAUCCUAAACUUGUGUGCUGUCUUCUGUGGUGGCCUUUCUGAGAUCAUACAGUUAAUUUUGUUUAACAUGGUACAGAUAUUUUGGUCCAAUGUUCUUAUUAUGGGCAGGCUUGACUUAUAAUUGCA